ensembl:lncRNA PPP1R3B-DT PPP1R3B divergent transcript
AUUGCGCAUGCGGGAAACCCACGCUGAGGGAAGAAUCAUGGGAAAGAGAGACGGGGUUCCACCGUGUUAGCCAGGAUGGUCUCGAUCUCCUGACCUCGUCAUCCUCCCGCCUUGGCCUCCCAAAGUGCUGGGAUUACAGGCUUGAGCCACCGCGCCCCGCUCUUUCGUGUUCCAAAGGCUUUUUAAAUAAACUUCCACUCCUGUCCUGGAUUCUGCUUUAUGGCCCUCAGUCGAAUUCUUUCUUCUGAGGAGGCAAGGACUGAAGUUGCUUCUGACCAGUACAGGUACGCCGCAGGAGAAAACGAAUACAGCAGGGAUGACUUCCACCAGCUCCACUUUGCAGCUCUGAGGUGUAUUAAAAAUAAACCUAGAGCCCCACCAAAUGAAUCCGCUGGCACGUGGACCUCAGAUGGGGGAAACUGAGGACUGAAUUCUGACCACCCUCCUUUGUUCUAAAUUUCUUCCUGAAGGACCUGGAAGAAGUCAUGCCACGGGCCAGACCUUAACAUUCCUUUCGGCUUACCCCAGGAUUUCAGACGAAGCUUCACUUUCCUAACCAGUCACAAAUCAGAGAAUUUUUGAUUCCACCUAUGACCUGUGAGCUCCUGCUUCAAGAUAUUCCACCUUUUUUAGGCCAAACCAAUGUAUAACCUCCAAGUGUCGAUUUACACUUUCGACUGUAACUUCUGCUUUCCUGAGAUUUACCCCUGCCUUUAAAAACCCUUGCUUGUAAUCCCUCAGGGAGGCCGUGUAUUUAUUAAUCAUGAGCUGCCCAAUUCUCCUUGCUUGGUGCCCUGCAAAUAAACACCCUCUUUUCUCCCACUGCAAAA